rnacentral:rRNA from 1 species
UACGUAGGUGGCAAGCGUUAUCCGGAUUUAUUGGGCGUAAAGGGAACGCAGGCGGUCUUUUAAGUCUGAUGUGAAAGCCUUCGGCUUAACCGGAGUAGUGCAUUGGAAACUGGGAGACUUGAGUGCUGAAGAGGAGAGUGGAACUCCAUGUGUAGCGGUGAAAUGCGUAGAUAUAUGGAAGAACACCAGUGGCGAAAGCGGCUCUCUGGUCUGUAACUGACGCUGAGGUUCGAAAGCGUGGGUAGCAAACAGG